AACGGGAGGGGCAGGCGUUAUUCAUCUUUACUGGGCGUAAAGGGUGCGUAGGCUGUUUUUUAUUUUCUCAUGUAAAAUUUGUAAAACUUGAUUUAAAAUUAAAACUUGAGUGUUUUAGAAGAUAUAAGUACUCAGAGUGUAGAGGUGAAAUUCGGAGAUACUUACGGGGACUAUCGAAGGCGAAAGCAUAUAUCUAUAAUACACUGACGCUGAGGCACUACAGCAUGGGUAUCGAACAGG
rnacentral:rRNA from 1 species